GGAAAAACCCAAUUUUGGUUUUGAGUUGC
rnacentral:piRNA from 1 species